rnacentral:rRNA from 1 species
AUUGAACGCUGGCGGCAGGCCUAACACAUGCAAGUCGAGCGAGCGGCGGACGGGUGAGUAAUGUAUGGGGACUGCCCGAUAGAGGGGGAUAACUACUGGAAACGGUAGAUAAUACCGCAUACCGUAGGAUUACCCAUAUGGGAUUAGCUAGUAGGUAAGGUAAAGGCUCACCUAGGCGACGAUCCCUAGCUGGUCUGAGAGGAUGACCAGCCACACUGGAACUGAGACACGGCCCAGACUCCUACGGAGGCAGCAGUGGGGAAUAUUGCACAAUGGGCGCAAGCCUGAUACAGCCAUGCCGCGUGUAUGAAGAAGGCCCUAGGGUUGUAAAGUACUUUCAGUCGGGAGGCGUUACCGACAGAAGAAGCACCGGCUAACUCCGUGCCAGCAGCCGCGGUAAUUC